AUCUAUCAUUGCACAUGUCCCCUUGGUACAUCUGGAAAUAACUGUGAAAACAUUUCGCGUGGAUUUCCAGAGUACAGACGAAAUGUUCUAAAUCAGAAGACAUGCAACAUCUCACCAUGCCUAAAGGACUGGAUAUUUAACAUUGCGACAUUUUCAUGCUAUUGGAUAGACAUCAGAAAAGAAAGAUGGAGUUCGGCAAAUAAAAUAUGCCAAUCAAAAGGGACAAGUCUCGCCUUCAUUCAAAGUCUGGAGGAGAUUAAAUGGCUGGAACAAUUUAUCAAUGAAAACGUAUGGGUAGGUGGACGUGAGGAUAACAAGCAGUAUCGAUGGAAAAGUUCAGAGUAUAAUUACACUAUCCACAAUCAUUCUAAUUUAUGGACUCAGAAUGAACCCGGAUUAUUCAAUAGACACUAUUGCGUACAACUUUGGAAAAGAACCGACAGUUUUCUUCUCGACGAUACAACAUGCUUUCAGGAGAAUCGAUUUAUUUGCAAAACUACAAAUCUUCCAGGAAUCUAAAACUAACGUCCUAAACUACUUUUUUUUUAAAUUGACAAUAAAAGGCAAUAACUUCUUAAGGGGUCAACUGACCAUUGUGGUCAUGUUGACUUAUUAUAAGAUCUUACUUUGCUGAACAUUAUUGCUGUUUACAGUUUAUCUUUAUCUAUAAUAGUAUUCAAGAUAAUAACCAAAAACUGCAAAAUUGUUUUAAAAAUUAACAAUUCAGGGGCAGCAACCCAACAACCGGUUGUCCGAUUGAUCUGAUAAUUUCAGGGCAAAUAGAUAUUGACUUGAUAAACAAUUUAACCCUGUCAGAUUUGCUCUAAAUGCUUUGGUUUCAGAGUAGUAAGCCGAAAUCUACAUUUUACCCCUAUAUUCUAGCCCUGGUGGCCAUCUUGGUUGGUUGGCUGGGUCACCGCACACACUUUUUAAAUUAAAUAAC
rnacentral:lncRNA from 1 species